UACGUAGGGUGCAAGCGUUAAUCGGAAUGACUGGGCGUAAAGGGUGCGCAGGCGGUCUGCUAAGACAGAGGUGAAAUCCCCGGGCUUAACCUGGGAAUGGCCUAUGUGACUGGCAGGCUAGAGGAUGGCAGAGGGAGGCGGAAUUCCACGUGUAGCAGUGAAAUGCGUAGAGAUGUGGAGGAGCACCGAUGGCGUAGGCAGCCUCCUGGGCCAAUCCUGACGCUCAGGCACGAAAGCGUGGGGAUCAAACAGG
rnacentral:rRNA from 1 species